rnacentral:rRNA from 1 species
AACGCGAAGAACCUUACCUGGAUUUGACAUCCUCAGACAGCCCUAGAGAUAGGGUUUUCGUAGCAAUACGACUGGGAGACAGGUGCUGCAUGGCUGUCGUCAGCUCGUGUGGUGACAUGUUGGGUUAAGUCCCGCAACGAGCGCAACCCCUGUCCUUAGUUGCCAGCAUUCAGUUGGGCACUCUAGGGAGACUGCCGUGGUUAACACGGAGGAAGGUGGGGAUGACGUCAAGUCCUCAUGGCCUUUAUAUCCAGGGCGACACACGUGAUACAAUGGGUGGUACAGAGGGAUGCGAAAGCGCGAGCUGGAGCCAAUCUCAAAAAGCCACUCUCAGUUCGGAUUGGAGUCUGCAACUCGACUCCAUGAAGUUGGAAUCGCUAGUAAUCGCGGAUCAGCACGCCGCGGUGAAUACGUUCCCGGGCCUUGUACACACCGCGAGC